rnacentral:rRNA from 1 species
CGAAGGUGGCGACCGUUGUUCGGAAUCACUGGGCAUAAAGAGCACGUAGGCGGCAAGGUAUGUCGGGUGUGAAAUCCCUCGGCCUAACCGAGGAAUUGCGCCCGAAACUACCUUGCUUGAGGAUGGAAGGGGAGCGUGGAAUUCCUGGUGGAGCGGUGAAAUGCGUUGAUAUCAGGAGGAACACCGGCGGCGAAGGCGACGCUCUGGUCCAUUACUGACGCUGAGGUGCGAAAGCCAGGGGAGCAAACGGGAUUAGAUACCCCGGUAGUCCUGGCCGUAAACGAUGGGCACUAGGUAGGGGGGUACCCAAUGCCUCCCUGCUGGAGUUAAUAUAUUAAGUGCCCCGCCUGGGGAGUAUAGUCGCAAGGCUG